UACGUAGGGUGCGAGCGUUAAUCGGAAUUACUGGGCGUAAAGCGUGCGCAGGCGGUUUUGUAAGCCAGAUGUGAAAGCCCCGGGCUUAACCUGGGAAUGGCAUUUGGGACUGCAAGGCUUGAGUGCGGCAGAGGAGACUGGAAUUCCUGGUGUAGCAGUGAAAUGCGUAGAUAUCAGGAGGAAUACCGAUGGCGAAGGCAGGUCUCUGGGCUGACACUGACGCUCAUGCACGAAAGCGUGGGGAGCAAAC
rnacentral:rRNA from 1 species